GGAUAUAGCUCAGUUGGUAGAGUGCUUGCCUCAAAUGCACAAGGCCCUGGGUUCAAUCCCCAGUACCA
rnacentral:tRNA from 1 species